rnacentral:lncRNA from 1 species
UAACGUUUUAAAAAUCGAUGAGCAAGUAAUAACCUUUUGAAAAGCUGAGCGACCAUUCAUUAAAUUAACUCACAUAAACCUUCCCUUCUUCUUCCCUCGGUUCCUGACGUUUCUUUUAGUUUUUACCUUUGCCUCUCAUUUUCCCCCAAGUUUACCUAUCAUUUUCCCCAUCUUCACUUCUUUAAGAAACAACACAGCAGAAUAAGUCGACAGCAAAAAUUCACAAUUUGAAGAAAAAGACUAGUCUUUUUAAGCAUUCCUCAUAGCAGAAUUCUGUUUAUUAAUUCAAUUGCAUUCAUCUUCCUACAGGUUAAGAUACUGAAUUUUUGUUUUGUGGGUUAUUUGACUGUGAUGAUUUUUUUUUAUUUGUUCUACAAUUGUUUGCAUUUUGUAUGUGGAUCGAUUUUUUAGGCCUUUUAGUUCUUCAUUUUUACCUUUUUGGCUUCUUUUAUGGUAGAUUAUUUUGGUUAAUGUGAAAAUAGUUGUUUUUAGAUUUUUAUCUGGUUCUGAUUGAGAUGAAUAUUUUGAUUUUUAUAUCACCAUUUAGCUUGAUCUACUUUACCAUCUCUGUUUAGCUAAACUGUUAAUCGUUUCUGCCUGUUUUGAGUCUGUAUCGUUAACAUUUUUUAUUUUAUUUUUAUUUUUAUUAUUAUUUUUUUUUUUUGGGAAUGAAUCGCUGUUAUACACGUGUUUUGGUAUUGAUUAUGAUUCGCUAAAUAUUACUCAAUAAGAAACUACUUGAAUGAGUAGAUUUGGUGUUCCCCCAGUCCCUAUAUUUACAUUUAUAGUGCUGAUUUAUGAUAUUAAUUUUUUUGUUUUUUGUUUUUUAACUAGAUUGUAGUUGAUCAAACAGAACCCGGCAACAAUUUCGAGAUAUUUUUCUUAAGCUAUGGUUCUCGGGCUGAGGUCAAAGCACAGAAAAAGUGCUUCUGUUAAAGUUGAGUACAUAGUGAACUUACAGGAGAUUAGGCCUUGGCCUCCAACAGAAUCACUGAGUUCCGUUCAAACCGUGUUGCUCCAAUGGGAAAAUGGUAAUAAAAAUUCAGGAUCCUUUAUUUCUGUUGCUGGGAAUACCAGUAUAUCGUUCAACGAGUCUUUCAUACUGACCUUUACUCUGCGCCAAGAUAAAAAGGCCCGUGAUAAGUUUCUUAAGAAUUGCUUAGAGUUCAGCUUGUUUGAGCCUCGAAAGGACAAGGGAAGUAAAGGGCAAUUAUUGGGGACAGCUUUAUUAAAUCUUGCUGAUUAUGGAGUACUUGAAGAAAUCAUAAGUAUUAGCAUUCCUUUAAACUUCAAGAAGAGUUAUAAGAAUUCAGUGCAACCAGCUUUGUUCGUAANUCAUGUAGCUUCCGUUUUAGCAUUCAUCCU